rnacentral:lncRNA from 1 species
UUUAAACAUGUUUUUUAUAUUUGUACUCAAGUGAGACAUGGAUUUAUCAUUUCAUCACAUAGUUCUUGUUAGGAUGCUUACCCUCACUGACUGAUGUUCUCCAGAAACUGUGGUAAACUCUUGGAAGAACAAAGAAAUCUUGUGUUGUGGUGAUUACUGUACGGAAAGAAUCAAUGUGAAUCAUGUUUCAAGCCAUGAGUGGCUAU